rnacentral:tRNA from 1 species
GGGGACUUAGGUUAAUUAAACCAGAAGCCUUCAAAGCCUUAAACAGAAGUUCAAAUCUUCUAGGCCCCG